rnacentral:rRNA from 1 species
UACGGAGGGAGCAAGCGUUACUCGGAAUUAUUGGGCGUAAAGGGCGCGUAAGCGAUUUGAAAAGUCUUGUGUGAAAGCCCCGAGCUUAACUCGGGAAGUGCACAAGAAACUGUUGAAUUUGAGUUCCGGAGAGGAAGGCAGAAUUCCCGGUGUAGCGGUGAAAUGCGUAGAUAUCGGGAGGAAUACCAGUGGCGAAGGCGGCCUUCUGGACGGAUACUGACGCUGAGGCGCGAAAGCCAGGGGAGCAAACGGG